rnacentral:rRNA from 1 species
UACGUAGGUGGCAAGCGUUGUCCGGAAUCAUUGGGCGUAAAGCGCGCGUAGGCGGCCAGAUAAGUCCGGUGUGAAAGCCACAGGCUCAACCUGUGAAUGCCGCUGGAAACUGUCUGGCUAGAGUCCGGGAGGGGCGAGUGGAAUUCCUGGUGUAGCGGUGAAAUGCGCAGAUAUCAGGAGGAACACCAAUGGCGAAGGCAGCUCGCUGGAACGGAACUGACGCUGAGGCGCGAAAGCGUGGGGAGCGAACAGG